UACGGGGGGGGUAAGCGUUGUUCGGAAUUACUGGGCGUAAAGGGCUCGUAGGCGGCCAACUAAGUCAUACGUGAAAUCCCUCAGCUUAACUGGGGAACUGCGUGUGAUACUGGAUGGCUUGGAUUUGGGAGAGGGAUGCGGAAUUCCAGGUGUAGCGGUGAAAUGCGUAGAUAUCUGGAGGAACACCGGUGGCGAAGGCGGCAUCCUGGACAAAUAUUGACGCUGAGGAGCGAAAGCCAGGGGAGCAAACGGG
rnacentral:rRNA from 1 species